rnacentral:lncRNA from 1 species
GAGAGGCUGAGGAGUACGUACCAAGGGACAGUUUGUGAGACUCUGGUAGGUCCGUGACUGAGGGCACCCUUGUGGGAUGCUGAGUGUAGCCAUCAGGAAGCUGGGUCCCAGCCAACUCAGCCUGGGCUCUGCCGUUCUCCAGUGGUCAGAUAAGAAAGAGCGGUGUGGUCCUCUAAGGGAGUGAGCGAGGACUGCAGCUGCUUUGAGCCCUGGCCAGAGCCUCCAAUCAACCUUUGGUUCUGAUAAAGACAAGAAACCCAAGGUGAUAACGCACAAGCUAGAAACUGUCACCAGGAGUUAAUUAGGGCACUGGGUGCUGAGCCUGGCCACACCUGCUACACCUGACUAGACUUCUCGGGAGGGAGGGAGGGAGGGAGGGAGGGAGGGAGGAAGGGAGGGAGCUCCCGGCCUGUGCACCAGGCUUACUGUCUUUGUUACCUCUUUAUUUCCACCCCUUAUUCCUAGCCCCUCCCUCCCCACUGCUGAUAUAACAGCAUGAAAUUAAACCUAUUCCAGUCUGUGACAUCUGAUCCCUUUGACAUGACAUAGUACAACCUGUAGAGCCAGAGGUGGGGGCCAGGAAGCCCUGUUCUAGUCUCUCUGCACAACCUUGAGCCAUCUCAUCAUCUGCACAUCUGCCUGAACCUCAGUCUCCCACUCUGGACGUUGUCGGGGUGAUGGAGCAAGCAUUCAGUUAUUCUCUGCUGGAUUCUGAUGUGGUCUAAAGUCCACACUUUGUUGUGAAACACCGCAAUCUGUGAUGUACAGAACCUAUUACUGCGGCCACCCAGGAAUGCUGGGGGCAGGCCUUUUGAGAAGGUGAAUCAGCGUGUGUUAGCUCAGGGCAGAGGGCCUGGCGGUGAGACGUGAGAACAGCCAAUGUCAUGGCGGUGGGGGAGUGGACGUGAGCCAUCUGGGGCCCAGCAAACAGCAUGUUGAAAAAAACGAGGAACUCAAAGGCAGAUGAGCCUACCACGCUGGGAACAGUUGGGAGUACAUUGCUCAAGCCCCGGCCAGUUUUAUGUCACUGCUGGUGUGAAGCAGUGAACAGUGACCCAGCAUGCAUCCAGGUGGCGGGACAGAGUCAGACUCUCCAGGGCAGAGAGACUCUAAAACUGACGGCCAGGUCUUGCUCAGACUACGGGCCUGAGGGAAGAUCCAAGACUGAAACAGGGCUUGGAAUGGAGGGGGUGGAGUUGAGGAGAUCACAGAGGACCUAGGAGUGUGUGUAUCGGAGAGAGAUAGGAAACCACUGACCGUUCAGCACACAUUCAGAAUUACUGCCUGUCCCAGGGAGGGACCCACAGCUCCGGCGCUCCGUUCAGCAUCUGGAAGAGCAUAGCUCGCUGUGAGCGGCCGCCCCAGAAGACUGUAUCCCACCCAGCCAGCUCUCCUGCCUGCUUGCCUCUGCCCCACACCAGGACACUUCAUACUGUCAGAACCACUGGGUGUGUGAGCUUGUGAGAGGGUGUGUGGGCACACAUGUCCCUGUGUGGGGUGUGGAGGUCAGAGGGCAACUUGGAGGAAUUGGUUCUCUCCUUCCACCACUGGGGCCCAGGAAUCAAGCCGAGGUUCCCAGACGUGGUAGCAGCCUCCCUUACCUGUUAAACCAGUGCUUCCCAGACUUCCUAAUGCUGUGACCUCAUGCUGUGCUGACCCCCGCCCAUGACAUUAUCUCUGUUGGUAUUUUAUAACUGUAAUUUUGCUACUAUUAUGAAUCACAAUGUAAAUGUCUGUUUUCUGAU